AGCAGUAGGGAAUCUUCCACAAUGGGCGCAAGCCUGAUGGAGCAACGCCGCGUGUGUGAUGAAGGCUUUCGGGUCGUAAAACUCUGUUGGUAGAGAAGAACGUUGGUGAGAGUGGAAAGCUCAUCAAGUGACGGUAACUACCCAGAAAGGGACGGCUAACUACGUGCCAG
rnacentral:rRNA from 1 species